CCUACGGGAGGCUGCAGUGGGGAAUAUUGGACAAUGGGCGAAAGCCUGAUCCAGCCAUGCCGCGUGUGUGAAGAAGGCCUUCGGGUUGUAAAGCACUUUCAGUGGGGAAGAAAGCCUUGGGGCUAAUACCCUCGAGGAAGGACAUCACCCACAGAAGAAGCACCGGCUAACUCCGUGCCAGCAGCCGCGGUAAUACGGAGGGUGCGAGCGUUAAUCGGAAUUACUGGGCGUAAAGCGCGCGUAGGCGGUCUGAUAAGCCGGUUGGGAAAGCCCCGGGCUCAACCUGGGAACGGCAUCCGGAACUGUCAGGCUAGAGUGCAGGAGAGGAAGGUAGAAUUCCCGGUGUAGCGGUGAAAUGCGUAGAGAUCGGGAGGAAUACCAGUGGCGAAGGCGGCCUUCUGGACUGACACUGACGCUGAGGUGCGAAAGCGUGGGUAGCAAACAGGAUUAGAUACCCGAGUAGUC
rnacentral:rRNA from 1 species